GACGAACGCUGGCGGCGUGCUUAACACAUGCAAGUCGAACGGAAAGGCCCUGCUUUUGUGGGGUGCUCGAGUGGCGAACGGGUGAGUAACACGUGAGUAACCUGCCCUUGACUUUGGGAUAACUUCAGGAAACUGGGGCUAAUACCGGAUAGGAGCUCCUGCUGCAUGGUGGGGGUUGGAAAGUUUCGGCGGUUGGGGAUGGACUCGCGGCUUAUCAGCUUGUUGGUGGGGUAGUGGCUUACCAAGGCUUUGACGGGUAGCCGGCCUGAGAGGGUGACCGGCCACAUUGCGACUGAGAGACGGACCAGACUCCUACGGGCGGCAGCAGGGGGGAAUAUUGCAGAAUGGGCGGAAGUCUGAUGCAGCAACGCCGGGUGCGGGAUGACGGCUUUCGGGUUGUAAACCGAUUUGGACUGUGACGAAGAGUGAGUGACGGUAAUGGGUCAAGAAGCAACGGCUAACUACGUG
rnacentral:rRNA from 1 species